AACGAACGCUGGCGGCAGGCUUUACACAUGCAAGUCGAACGAGAACGCACCUUCGGGUGUUAUUAAAGUGGCAAACGGGUGAGUAACACGUGGGAAUAUACCUUUUGGUUCGGGACAACAGUUGGAAACGACUGCUAAUACCGGAUGUGCUCUACGGAGGAAAGAUUUAUCGCCAAAAGAUUAGCCCGCGCUAGAUUAGCUUGUUGGUGAGGUAAUGGCUCACCAAGGCUCCGAUCUAUAGCUGGUCUGAGAGGAUGAUCAGCCACACUGGGACUGAGAUACGGCCCAG
rnacentral:rRNA from 1 species